rnacentral:rRNA from 1 species
GGAGGUACCGUCACCCUCUGGGCUAUUCACCCGAGUGGCUUCGUCCCUCCUGAAAGCGGUUUACAACCCUAAGGCCUUCCUCCCGCACGCGGCGUCGCUGCGUCAGGCUUUCGCCCAUUGCGCAAGAUUCCCC